rnacentral:rRNA from 1 species
UUAGGAAUAUUCGUCAAUGGGGGAAACCCUGAACGAGCAAUGCCGCGUGAGUGAUGACGGUCUUAUAGAUUGUAAAACUCUGUUGUAAAGGAAGAACCCUCGCUAUAGGAAAUGAUAGCGAGUUGACGGUACUUUACCAGAAAGCCCCGGCUAACUACGUGCCAGCAGCCGCGGUAAUACGUAGGGGGCGAGCGUUAUCCGGAUUUAUUGGGCGUAAAGCGUGUGUAGGCGGUUUAUUAAGUCUAAGAUUAAAGCCUGGGGCUUAACCCCAGUUUGUUUUAGAAACUGGUAGACUUGAGUGUGGUAGAGGCAAGUGGAAUUUCUAGUGUAGCGGUUAAAUGCGUAGAUAUUAGAAGGAACACCAGUGGCGAAGGCGGCUUGCUGGGCCAUUACUGACGCU